ACCCGAAGUAGGUGUCGAGCUCCGGUAGCCAGUUUACAGUGAUCACCUAGCCGACUCCAGAUCGCGGGGCCUGCAGUCUGGUCACAGGGAUCCGCUUGGCGGUAUGGUGCAUCCAUUGUCGGUCGGUGCAGGAGGUCUUGUCCGGCCCGUUUGCCGUAGUGUGUCGCUGCUGCAGGGAAGCCUUUUCAUGCCUCUGAUGCAGGUUUAG